CGUAGGCGGCCCAUUAAGUCAGAUGUGAAAUCCCGGGGCUUAACCCCGGAAGUGCAUUUGAAACUAUUGGGCUUGAGUAUGGGAGAGGGAAGUGGAAUUCCUGGUGUAGAGGUGAAAUUCGUAGAUAUCAGGAGGAACAUCGGUGGCGAAGGCGACUUCCUGGACCAAUACUGACGCUGAGGCGCGAAGGCGUGGGGAGCAAACA
rnacentral:rRNA from 1 species